UGGGGAAUAUUGGACAAUGGGCGAAAGCCUGAUCCAGCCAUGCCGCGUGUGUGAAGAAGGUCUUCGGAUUGUAAAGCACUUUAAGUUGGGAGGAAGGGCAGUAACUUAAUACGUUGCUGUUUUGACGUUACCGACAGAAUAAGCACCGGCUAACUCUGUGCCAGCAGCCGCGGUAAUACAGAGGGUGCAAGCGUUAAUCGGAAUUACUGGGCGUAAAGCGCGUGUAGGUGGUUUGGUAAGUAGGGCGUGAAAGCUCCUGGCUCAACUGGGAGAGGACGUUCUAAACUGCCAAGCUUGAGGAUGGUAGAGGGAGGUGGAAUUCCGGGUGUAGCGGUGGAAUGCGCAGAUAUCCGGAGGAACACCAGUGGCGAAGGCGGCCUCCUGGACCACUCCUGACACU
rnacentral:rRNA from 1 species